rnacentral:rRNA from 1 species
GAUGAACGCUAGCGACAGGCUUAACACAUGCAAGUCGAGGGGCAGCAUGAUUUGUAGCAAUACAGAUUGAUGGCGACCGGCGCACGGGUGAGUAACACGUAUCCAACCUGCCGACAACACUGGGAUAGCCUUUCGAAAGAAAGAUUAAUACCGGAUGGCAUAGUUUUCCCGCAUGGGAUAAUUAUUAAAGAAUUUCGGUUGUCGAUGGGGAUGCGUUCCAUUAGGCAGUUGGCGGGGUAACGGCCCACCAAACCAACGAUGGAUAGGGGUUCUGGAGAGGAAGGUCCCCCCACAUUGGAACUGAGACACGGUCC